rnacentral:rRNA from 1 species
UGCAGCUGUUUCACUCGCUGCAAUCGCCGCGUUUACCUCGGUCGAAAGUUUGCAAUCGUCUGUUGUCAACCAUGCCAGCAGAAAAUUUCAACGCCUGAUCCCUUGCCAUUCUACAACAAAGGAAAAGACAGGAGACUUCUUCAAUGAUAAUGAACAAGUCAUCAACGACUUCUGCGUUGGGACCAACGAGUUC